GUAUUUCCUAAUUUAUGGCACGUGUACAAGUUUACACACGCGUGAAAGUUUUAUUUUAUGAAACUACAUGCUUAAAAUUAUUUUGAUUUAAGUUUAUAUAAAUUUAAUUGUUGAUUCUAAUCAAACCGAUAACAUUCUUUAUGGAGAUUUAAAAUCUCCUUCAAAGUUCAUUAUCUUGCUGUUUUUUACGUUCAAAAAUAAAAGGAAAUACGGCGACUUACGGCGUCAAUGUGCCAAAAUAUCCGUCUGGAGACAAAAGGAGGGUCAAGGACCAAAGCGGCAAAGGUCGAUGUCGGUACAAAUAAAAAUAAAAAGAAAGACUUUUCUCAAACGUCUGGAUGCCAAAGCCGAUUAUAAUUAGACACCCUGUAUGCUUAUAGGACUAUAACAUAAUCGUUGUAAAUAUGUUUAUCGAUUUUUGAACACAAUAGCCUCGAUUUCUGAGGACUUUCACUUGGCACGUGGAUAAAUAUGUCUCCCCGGAAAAAAAGAUAAACAAAUAUAAAGAAUCGCAACUACGAUAAGAAGCACAUCGCAUUUAAAGACGAGAUAAGAAAGCUUUUAUGUUUUGCAAAUUGACUUGUAACAAUAAAUGAAUCAUAACAUU